rnacentral:rRNA from 1 species
ACAGCAGCCGCCACGGGAAUACGGAGGGUGCAAGCGUUAUCCGGAUUUAUUGGGUUUAAAGGGUCCGUAGGCGGAUCUGUAAGUCAGUGGUGAAAUCUCACAGCUUAACUGUGAAACUGCCAUUGAUACUGCAGGUCUUGAGUAAAUUUGAAGUGGCUGGAAUAAGUAGUGUAGCGGUGAAAUGCAUAGAUAUUACUUAGAACACCAAUUGCGAAGGCAGGUCACUAAGAUUUAACUGACGCUGAUGGACGAAAGCGUGGGGAGCGAACAGGAUUAGAUACCCGUGUAGUCCCUGUCUCUUAUAA